rnacentral:lncRNA from 10 species
GUUAGGAGUUAAAGACUCUGGCUUAAUUAAUUAGGCAUUUCCUAUGGAGUGAUUAUUAUCCAAAGGGGUCCAAAAAGAUCAGUCACACACACAGCAACAGAGCAGUGGAAAGAACCUGCUUGGGAUUUAAGUAAGACAAGGUUCGAACCUUGACUUCACCACUGAUAGGAUGUGAGAUUCAGAUUGACAGGAAGAAAAAGAGGGAGGACAACAUGAUAAAGGCCCAGGGCUUGACAGGCCUCAGCUUGAUGUCCUGCUCAGGAACUCCAAGAGGACAAUACUCUAAAGACUGUCCCGUGACUGUCCACUCUGUACAUACAUGUGAGAGGAGAAGAAGCAAAACAGAUGUCCCCAAAGGAAG